rnacentral:rRNA from 1 species
GACAGAGGGUGCAAACGUUGUUCGGAAUUACUGGGCGUAAAGCGUGUGUAGGCGGCUAGGUAAGUCGGAUGUGAAAGCCCCGGGCUCAACUCGGGAAGUGCACUCGAUACUGCUUAGCUCGAGUACCGGAGAGGUUGGUGGAAUUCUCGGUGUAGAGGUGAAAUUCGUAGAUAUCGAGAGGAACACCGGUGGCGAAGGCGGCCAACUGGACGAGUACUGACGCUGAGGUGCGAAAGCGUGGGGAGCAAACAGG